rnacentral:lncRNA from 1 species
UCGGAUGCACCUUCAUUGGAUACUUCUUUGAGGAGCAACCAAUCUAGAAGGUUUGACCCUCAACAACCAAAAAUUUAUUAAACAAAAGAAAUUCAACUCAACACAAUAAUUUAAAACAUAAAUAAUAACCAUUACUUCAAAAUGUUGAAAAUGUGCGUGGGGGACAAAACACCCCAAAAAGUACAUAACCAACUACCAAAUAUCUGAAAAUAAAAUAAAAUAAAACAUAACAUAAAAAAAAACUUAGUCCUCAUAGGACUCAGAACCCUCUUCACUACCGGCCUCAGAACCGGAAUCAUCAUCACUAUCAUCAUCAUCAUCAACAUCAUCAGCACCACCAGAACCAGAAGCACCCACCCCUUCUCCGAAAACAGGCCUGUCCUCAGGCCAGCCAGCAUGUUGCAGGAACUGCUCACGCGUCAUCAGAGGAUGCUCUCUAGAAGGGUCACGUACCUGCAACUGUAACAACUGCAUAGAAUCGUGAAUAUCAAUCAUGGCGUGCUGAGUCGCCGCCAUCCAAUCCCAAUUAUAAUUGCAGACAGCUUGCUGGAAAGGAUCAAAUCCCUGAGCAAAAGUAC